rnacentral:misc_RNA from 1 species
GAUGAAGAACGCAGCGAAAUGCGAUAAGUAAUGUGAAUUGCAGAAUUCAGUGAAUCAUCGAAUUUUUGAACGCACAUUGCGCCCGCCAGUAUUCUGGCGGGCAUGCCUGUUCGAGCGUCAUUUCAACCAUCAAGCCCUGCUUGCGUUGGGGUCCUGCGGCUGCCCGCAGGCCCUGAAAACCAGUGGCGGGCUCGCUAGUCACACCGAGCGCAGUAAUACAUCUCGCUUUGGGCGUGCGGCGGGUUCUUGCCGUUAAACACCCCCUUUUUACCAAGGUUGACCUCGGAUCAGGUAGGAAUACCCGCUGAACUUAAGCAUAUCAAUAAGCGGAGGA